rnacentral:tRNA from 1 species
ACGUCUAUAACUUAAAGGAAGAGUACGUUAUAAAAAAAAACGAAGUAGAUGUUCGACUCAUCUUAGAUGGA